rnacentral:rRNA from 1 species
AUGGCCUCGAAGUUAGUGGACUGUUAUGAACUAAAAGACAAUUGCGCUAAAUUUGCAAGUUAUUUCUCUUCAGAUGAUUCAUCUAAUGUUGGGUUAAAGGAUCUAAUUUUUGAGUUAAGUGUUAUGCACUUGACUUUGUUCAAUAGACCAAUGUCUGCGAUGUGGAUUUUUGAGUUUGUCAGAGAAGCAGAUUGUUAUCCUAAUAUUUCUAUUGCCUAUUGGAUUUUAUUUACUAUGACUGACUGUAGCAUCAGCUGA